GAGUGGGUUCAAUAAAUGUCCC
rnacentral:misc_RNA from 1 species